UCAUUAGAGAGAGCGAGAUUGUAAAUCUUCUUGCUUUUCUUUAGACUUUAACAUACGAAAGCUCUAUGAAUUCCUCAUUUAGCCAAAUCCAAAAUCCAUCGAACAUAUCCUUGCCAUUUUGUACAAAAUUAAUUUAUUGUAAUUGAUUGAAUAUUAAUUGUGGCUCACGUAUAACGAAUAUUUCAUCAAGAAGUUUCCGACAGAUCAAAACUUUCCCUAUAUAACUUACACGCGCUUCCACUUCUGACGUUAUUCGAACGAUCGAGUUGUUGGAAAUUUCCUGCGCUUCGUUUCUGAAAUAUCGAAAUCCUAUACCCGGGAAAUCCAACAAUUUUUUUACAGUCGUAAUUUUUUUGGACCGUAAACUUGAGAAAAAAAACUCCACGGCGAAAAUAUAUUUGAGAACUUAGUCAUCGAUCCUCCUCUUACGAAAAAAGCUCCGGAUUGGGAACAUGAACAAGAACUUCGUCUGAAAAGCAUCAGAAUCGUCGCUCCAACUUCAUAAAGCAUUAAAACCAUCCCGAAGGAAAACACCGGCCGAGAUGGAACUACAACGUCAAUCUUCCAAUACCAGUUGUCCUUGAGGUUCUCGCGAUUCGUCGAUAGAGGAGACGACUCGUUCGCUUUUAUUCAGAGACUGAACGAGGUAGCGACACCAUCUACCGUCCAAUGGAUUAGAUGUAUUACUAGUGAAUCAAGAAGAAAAAUCAUUUCCUUCGUGAUCUUCAGAUAAGUCACACGGGAGGGUGUAAUAAGUUGAACGAGUCGAAGGAGCCAAGGAAACAAUAGCUCUCUCGAAGUACUUUUCUUUUCUAGUGGUAUUAAGAGUCGACACUUUUUCAAACGUCAUGUUCUAGAAAAGGACCAGACGGAGGACAAAAAGGAAAGACUUUGUCGGCCAAUUAACGGGCUUCCGGUGCAGUACCGUAAAGUUCUCUCUUCGAACGAAGAGACCGAGAGAAAAAAAGAAUGAGAAUUUGGUGCGAAAGUAGUACCUACCAUUUCGGUGGUUUUACAUUGUGAUCUCUUUACGUGUGCACAUACACAUCGCAGGUACAAACGGCGUAGAUGCAGCGUGUGCGAGGUUGAGAGCGCUCCACGCCUCUAAAUUAAAGGCGCACGUCUGCGAAUCCUCCAGUCGGCCGUCGGAUUUCCGUGGUAGAACCGCUUCGAAGUCGGCACUCCUGUGCUUUCCUCGCUUCGAGCAACUUUCCCGAUCCAACCACUUGCUUUCCUCGUCUCUGUAUUUUCCUCCUCCUUGUCUCUCCCUCUCUCUCUCUCUCUCUCUUUCUCUCUUUCCCCCCUCUCUCUCCAUCUCUCUUCUCCUCCUCUCUUGUGCGAAAAGUGUCUACGAAGUGUGUCGAGUUCGAUAUCCCUCGUGUCAUCACGCCUUUUGUGAAUUUCCUCGGCACAAUUUCUAUUCUAUCCCUUAACUACGUUGACUUUAAAGUGCGUGUUAUUGUUUUAUCAAUUCCUUCUUUUCCAACGAACGAGGAUUAUCAUCUUUCAAAUAGAAAAAACUCGAUUCGACGGAUAAAAAAGUGUAGCUUUUCUUCCCGUCGACAUUUUUCAACGUUUGGAAUAUAAAAGGACGAUCGUUUUUCCACAAAGAUAAAGUAUUAAUAACGUGGGAGGGAAGAAUGCAUUUUCUAGCAGCAACUCGAUGAUCGAGUUGCCUGGGAGAGAAAUGCAUAUGAAAUAUUACGCGAGGGAAAUAUAGUUGUAACGAGUGCAAGAUGGACGAGCACGAAUUUCACGUAAAAAAUAUUAACGAGAGAAUCAGUAAUUAAACUUUUUUCCUGUCACAGCGUAAAAAUUAUUUAUUCGCUCGGUGAAACGUAGUUCUCGUCGUACGAACUUUCUUUCGCUCGUUAGUUGAAAAACGAUGUACUCGGUGAUUAUAUUUAAUUAUUCCUUAAGUUUAUCGCACGUUCAAAAACGACUUCUACUUUUUUGUUCGAUUAAUCGCAUUAAUAUUUAAUAUUUCGAAUAUUAAUAUUUCGAGUACACGUACUUCUGUACUGCAUUGUCCUUAUUGAUUUUCAUUCCCCAAAGUAAGGUCAUUAAUCUUUAGAAGCUUUUCAACUAGGUCAUUAUAGUUCAUAUGUCUUACGUUGUAACAGGUGUUCUCCGUGGAAUUACAUAAAAUUUUCUAGAUAUUAUUUGUUAUUCAUAACUGAUCAAUAAAUCUCGAAAGUUAUAUAUCAAUGUCAAUAUUGCCAAGCUUGAAAUAACGAAUUUUUAUAUAUAUUUUUUUCCUUUCUUUUUUUUUCAGAGAUAAUUUCAGAGGAUAACAUAGCUUGCCGAGGAUUUUAUUUACGUAGACGAAUCGAGACAUAAUAAAUAUCGCCGAAACUUUUCACAGUUCGUCUACUGCGUUUCCGUAAUGUCUCUAAUUAUAGGAACUCUCGAUAUUCGAGAGGCAAAAAUAGGAAUAAGUUGUUGAGUAAGGCAGGUCGGGAUCGUUAAUUUUUUUUACGAGUUAAAAGAACCUAUCAAAUAACGACGAUAAAAGUAAACGAGAAGCUUCGAUGGAUUCAAGGUAACUCUUGAAAAUCCAUCUCCGGUGUAAAACUCAUCAUUAUUAUCUGGUAUUCACGAUCGUUGAUUAUACGCAAACGAGUGAUCUUUUUUAUUGUUCUUGCUAACAACAAACGAUUACACAUUCUACAAAAGUUCAAUCCCACGUUUGUUGAGAGAACAAAGAUACGACCCACUUCCGAGAACUUUCAUCGACUAGAUUCAUUAUUUUUUUUGCUCGGUACAACGUGUCCGUCGAUCUUCGAUCCACCCAUAUCUUCUUUUCUAAAAAUAAUCAGGAAUUUUAAAGGCAUUGUGAAAUUUUUAUUUCUUGCCUUUGUGCGAAUCUAUGGAAGACAAUCGGAGAAAAUGAGAGACAGUUUAACAGCUGGACUCGGCUGAACUGCGUCAUAGUCCGUAAAUUUUUCAACUUCUCGUUUACUCUCGAAAACUUUGAUUACAAAGUGUUUAACUUCUGAGAAACUUCGUUGUCAGCAGCCAGCGUCGCCAGCAAACUUGUAUUUAAUAUGAAUAAGACAGAAAACUCGUUUGGUGAAAACGUUUGAUUAUAACAUCUCGUCUCUUUUCUCCAUCCCCUGUUAACAAUGUUAUAAGCUUUUAUAAGAAUCGGGUCAAGUAUGGAUCGAGGCAGAUCUGAUUUCCUUCAACGCUUUUCAAUUUCGACGUAGGUCAUUAAAAGACGAAUAUAGAACGAUCUCAUCAUUCUUGAUAUUUAGCCGGACUCGCGAUGGCAUUCUCUACUUUUAGUGUUCUCCAUUGUAAACGCAUUGAGUAUCUCCUUGUGAAUUUUUGCAAAAAAAUUGCAAAGAAGGAGAACGACAAUAGGACAGGGAUUCGUUGUCGAACUUAAUCAAUAGUUUCGUUACAUUUGCAUAAGAUGGAAAUGUUCAGGAAUUAUUUUUUAUUGUCAUAAGAAAUAGAAAAUUAGUGUAUUGUAUAAAUAACGAGUUAGCUUUGUAGAGAUAAAUUUAGUCAGCUAAUGAACAGAAAGAUGUACUUGGAAUUCUUUAACAUUUCCAUACAGAAAAUUAACUUGUCUCAGUGCUCGUUUCUUCUGAUUAUAAAUUCGAAGAAAAUUGUCUCUUGUUCCUGUUAAAAAUGUAAACGUGGAAAUACGUGGCUCAUUUUUGCUAAGAGCUUUCUUUCGUUGAAUUUUUUAUCAGAGGUCAAGGAAAAAUUAACGUUCUAAUUAAUCUCUUCUUCUGUCGCAUUUUCGAUACUUUUUAUCAUUUACGAGACUUUGUAUCCGUCGGGUCAUGUAGACGCCACAUUUAUUCUUAAGAAGAGACAAAUUUGAAGCCACUGAAUCAUCGGAAGAUCGAAGUAAAUUCGAUCUUUUCCUAUACGGUUUGUUAACGAUGUAAGAGUCAUUCCGCUCGUUUAAUUCAUCUUUCAUCUGUAUUCCUCUCAUCGAGCGAACUUAGUAAUCGAAUCAAAAAAAGAAGGACACGUUAUCGUCGACUACGACCCAUUACUGAUUCCCCAGAGACGGCGAUUUAAUUCUCGGGAAUGCGAAAUCGUGUUUACGCCGAGAGGAAUCUAAUUAUAGGUCAGAAGUUCGAAUUAAGAUAGAAUAUUCUUUCUCUCACGUUUUCUCCCUCGUCGAAAGAGAAGUCUGAAGAAGACAGUUUUAUGUGUACGUUUAUAAAAAGAACAACCUGUUUAUAUCUUUCCAAAGCGAGCAGAAAAUAGAACACCCGUGUCGAUCAUAUUGGGAUCUUCCAAUCUUCUCUUUGCUCGGGGAAGGGUAAUAAAAAGUAUUUUCCUUUAUGUCACAUCGUAUCAAAUUGAAAAUGCAAUAUUUCGAUCAAGGUCGCCUCGAUUUCUUUCGCGAAUCAUCCGUUUGAACUUGCUCCUAGCAUUUUUCCAGCAACCAAAUACCAUUCGUGUAAGCUCGUUCGAAAGUUUUCAACGUUUUGAAGCAUUAGAAUCGAAGAGUAAUCAUUUUCGAAGAGAAACAUCAACGAAUCCUUUCUCUCCGAUUCGAUUUCCUAAAGGGAAAGCAGAUUUCCAAUGGCAGAAGUCGGAGGUCGUCGUAUUUGGUCCAAGUCGGCCAGCUGAUGUGAAUACAAUUGGAAAAUCGGCUGUGGUUCACUAUAAUAUGGAUCGAUGCACUUCCGUCUGCAUUUCAUGCGGUCAUAUCACCUGUUACGCCUGUCACUCGCUUUUCCCCAUUUCCCGAACACCGUAGUCAUUAUUAUGCGAAUGUCCUUAUACCGUUGAGAGCUGGUAUAUGCUAAUAUUGGUAACAAGUACACGAGUACUAUCGAUUAUCGAUAUCUACCGUCGCUUCGUAGACGAGAUCAGCAUGGGUGCACGUUAACCACUUCGAAAUUUCGGCUUGCCCAUAGUCUAUCUUUUGAUAUCUAUUAAAGCGGAUAAAACACAUUUUCUUCUUUCGAAGCUUGAUUAAAUGUAUAGCUUCUAAAAAAAUUCGCUCUCGUAGAACGGAUAAACGAAACUUCAUUUUUCUUUCACGAUAAAAACUCACGAGAGUUCAUACGAGUAACAACGUUAAUGCAGGAAACGCUUAAAGUCAUAAAUUCCGGCUAAGUUACUUGAAUAACGUAUUUCCACUUUAGUCUUUAUGGUAAUUUUCUUCGUGACUGAGUUUUGCAUUUUUCCAUGAGAACGAGCUGGAAAUUCUCCCAUGAGCUAGGAACGCAUCGCAGAAAAAUUUGCAGCCGGUUUCCUACGUCAAGCCGUUUUGACGCAAAUCGAAUUAGCAUUCACCUCUUUCUCUCUUUCUCAUUCCUUUUUUUUUCCUACACGUAUAGAGGAAAUCGCUUAUACCAACCAUAUCCUGAGAAACCACGUUACCUUUAACCAAUAUAUAUUCGUUAAAUCUCAAACUUGCGUCGCGGUAUGCAAGGGGUAAUAAAAGAAGCUUUCACGAGGACUAAUUUAACAAUCUAUAGCUUCUGUUUCUUCUUACGAACUCCAAAAUUACACGAAAUUACCGUCUCUGAUAUAAUUUGCUGACAUCUCACCUUAUGUCGAAAACAUCAAUAUCCAUCCAUAGAAUCAAUUAAAUUCAACUUCCUCAGCGGACUGCCAAUUUCCCAGAUCGAACGCGCACACAUCGAACAUGCUAGCCAAUAAAGCAAACCGUACGACUUGUGCCAAGGAAAUUGAAUUUCCGAAAUUAUACCUCCGUUCACGAUAUCAUCGUUUAUGCUCACCUGUUGUACUCUUAAUCGACGAUCUGAUCUUCGUCGUGAAAGAUCGAUAACUAAUUCGAUCGAUUAUUCUACCUUCUUUCUUCGUCCUUGAAUCAUAUAAAUGCAUCCUGUACGAUCUCAAAUCGAUUAUCGGAUGACCGUCUUCCAUUAACGAUUUCUUUGAAUGUUAAUUUCUCUUUACUUUCUCGCAAGUAGAAAAUUCAUUGACAAUAUCCGAAUGCGAAAAAUGAGAUUUUAAGAGAGCUCUCUAAGCAUCCUCAGCUCUCUUCCUACAUUUUUGCGGUUAUCGAAGUAAUUUCGCUCGAAUCUAUCGGCUCGAGUUCUCGCAAACAUUCGGCGAAGUAAGUAUAUUUAUCGACGUGCACGUAGAAUGUGAGCGCGCGCACAUUAUGCUGUUCGUGCAUUAUAUACCGGCCCACGAGGGCAGACACGCGCGCGCAUACACACACACAUAUGUGGAAACGCGGUCGAGGCGAGGAAAGAGAGACAUGGAAAGCGGAUCGGUGGCCUACUAGAUCCUAGUCGCUAAAAAUACGCGUCGCAAUAUACUCAAGGGUGACGUCUACCACCUAGACUUGACGUUUCAGCUCUUCUUACUGUAUACUUUCGUUUCUUCUUCCUCAUUCGACCAUCUGGAAAAGCGCAAUCCUUUUCCAGCUGGCGCUGCUCAAUGGCAGCCUUGUUACUCGGAAGUGCUUCAUCCUUGCUUCCGCUUUUCGCCAUUAUCAACUCUUUGCGCUACCAUUACUGAUUCGCGCUCUCUCUUUCUCUCUCUCUCUCUCUCUCCUCUCCUCUCCUCUCUCUCUCUCUCUCUCUCUCUCUCUCUUUCUCUCUCAGGUUGUUUGCAGAGGAAGUUUGUUGCUACAAGAUAUCUGGAACGUCACAACGAAGCACGAAUAACAAAUCGUCGAGUUCGUUAAAUACAAGCAUAAUGCUCGCAUAAUCGAUCUUGUUAUCGAUCAAGAAAGAAAGUUUCUCAUGCCGAGGUACCCUUGAAAAUUUCACGAACAGCGAUGAUUUAAUUUUAGUAAUCAUCUUUGUUCUACUUCCUGCAGUUUAAGGGAAGGAAACAAGUGUAAACAUUUCAGGCUUGAAGAUCGAAUUAAAGAUGCAGGGUAGUCUUGAUCGUGGAAGCGUAAGAUGCGACGCAAACAGGUGCUACAAUUAAAUUUGCUGAAAAAAAGGAUUUUAGAUAGAAGUUAUUCGUGUUAUUAAUAUCGUGCGAUUCUGAAGAACGAAUUCUAAAGAGCAUCUUCUGAAAAGGAUUCCUCGUAAAACUUCUAAUUACCGACGGAUGACCCUAACGACCGGAUUCCUUGCAGAUUCCAUUCGACAAAAUUUCGAGGAAUACGUGAAAUAAAUCUUUCCAAGUCCUGUGGGAAGAACGAUCGAAUGAAACACCAAGUAUUCACUGCAAACUAGCUUAUUCCGAAUAACCUACAUAAAGUCGUCGGGUCGAUCGGCUUUAAUCACCCUUUACAACGAGGCAAAAAUAACUUUUUAAACAUUUAUUAUGCGCUCUUCUUUUUUUCCUAUGAUUCUAAAGGAAUUUCAGAAAUUUGCAACAUUUUCGUGAUGGCAAAGCAUUAAGCUUGGCGUAGCAAAAAUAAUCUCGUUAGAAAUUUCUCGGAAAAUGAUCGAGUGAACGCAUUAAUGAUCUUACUUUGUUGACGCGUGAUUCAUCUUUAGAAAAUAAUUUUCUACAGCACGAAUGAUAAAUCGAGACGCGCCAGACAGUGUUGUGAAGUUUACUCAUGAGUUUUUGCUGAGGUAAGGAUAAUGCUGAAAAUGAUAGCGACAAACAACCG